ACUUCCUCCUAGAAUCAAGACAGAGCCCCGCCCUCCUGACUCUGGUCUGCUAACAGGGGCCUCAUUUUCUUACCUCCUCCUUGGGGAGCCAGCCUGGAGUUCGGGAUGUCACUACUGGAAGCAGUCAUCUUCUUCUCCCUCUGGGCUUCUGGCCUCGGGCAGUUAAAGUUGGAGCAAUCUGAAAUAUCAGUUUCCAGGUCAAGUGAUAAGAGUGCCCAUAUAUCUUGUAAGGUGUCUUCUGGCUCCUUUAGCUCAGACUACAUACACUGGUACCGGCAGAAACCAGAUCAAAGUAUAGAACAUUUAAUAUAUGCUUAUUCGAACACCCCUGCACUUGGGAAGAACAACAAAUUUGAGGCAAGUAAAAAUCCUCAAACUUCUACUUCCACCUUGAAAAUAAAUUUCUUAGAGAAACAAGAUGAGGCCGUGUACUUCUGUGCCUGCUGGACUGGCACCCACAAUGAUAGAAUAUUUGCUGAAGGGACAAAGCUCAUAGUAAUUCCGUCUGAGAGAAGCCUUGAUUCAUCAGAUACUGCUCCUAAGCCCACAAUUUUUCUUCCUUCAAUUGAAGAAAUAAACCUUCAUAAGGCUGGGACAUAUCUUUGUCUCCUUGAGAAGUUUUUCCCCGAUGUUAUUAAGGUAUAUUGGAAGGAAAAGAACGGCAAUGCAAUUCUGGCAUCCCAGCAGGGAAAUACCAUGAAGACUAAGGACACGUACAUGAAAUUCAGCUGGCUGACCGUGACUGCAAAGUCAAUGGAUAAAGAACACAAAUGCAUCAUCAAACAGGAGUAUAAUAAAAGAAGAAUUGAUCAAGAGAUUCUUUUUCCUUCAAUAAAUAAAGGUGUGAUAGAAGCUGUGAGAAUGCAGGACCAUGAGCCAAAGAAGGCAAAAAAUAAAAGUCUAGAGUAUGAAAAAGAGGUUGCCAGCAUUAAUUCUACAACAGGUGAUUGUCUGAAAGAUAAAAGUGAUUUACUGCAGUUGCAGCUCACCAAUACCUCCGCCUACUACACCUAUCUCCUCCUCCUCCUCAAGAGCCUGGUCUACUUUGCCAUCAUUUCCUUCUGUCUAUUUAGGAGAACAGCAGUCUGUGGCCGUGGAAAGAGUGCAUAACACAUGAUGGCACAAAAGGAUCAAUUUUUCUGCAUUUCUUCCGUGCAUGUGUCCACUGAUGAUCUAGCUAAACUUCCUUUUUGGGUUUGCAUUAUUUAAAUUCACAUGCAUUUUUCUAUCAUGUCAUUAUUACAUAGUGGUUUUCAAACCACUGGGCAAAGACAAUUUCUCUCUGUAACAAUAGCCAAUUUGGCCAUAUCUCAGGUAUAGGGCCCAAGGGUGCCCUUUAACACCACUCUUCCCAUUAUCUUAAUCAAUCUUUGCUCCUCUAGCAAACCCACAUAAUCAUACCUUCGAAAUAUAGACAGCAUGCAGCUCCUAGUCCCAUUCCUUAGUGCUCUUUAUUUAGAGAACUGCCUCAAAACUUUUCAUUUCACAUACCCUGAAACUGAUAUCUCGGUUACUUGUAUUCUGCAUUUUGUUUUUUAUAAUAGUCACAAUAAAUUUUUUUAAAAA